rnacentral:lncRNA from 1 species
CCAUCAGAAUAUAAAGGGCCAUCUAUCCAAGGAAUAGGAGAUCGUAAACCAUCAUAACCGAAUCUAGGGUCUUGAUAACCAGAAGCAGCAAUUCCUCCAGGCAGGGCACCCCUUCCAUAGGAUCCAUUCACAUAAGAUGAGUUCUGAUAUGUUGUUUUCAGUGGUGCUGAACCAUUAUUUCCCUUUAGGCCACCCCCGUUUCCAAUGCCAUUAGAAUUUCCCUUAGGAGCUUCGACAGACAAAGGCACUUGAUCAGCAGCCCCAAUGCUCGAAAUCUCACCUUUUGGAGGGGCAGUUGCGCUAGGGAAAGGUCCACUUGUUGGAGUCAAUGUUUGGAAAUAUGGAGAAGGAUACUGGUACUGCUGAGCUCCAUAGAGCUGGCCAUCGUGUCCAACUGUAGGAACAGGUGAAGCCGCAGGUGAAUAUGGGCCAUAGGGUGCAUAACCGUAACCAUGGUGAUACAUAAGUGACCCAUUGUCCCCAUAUACUCCCUGAAAAUAAGUAACAAAAAAUAUAAGAACAUAAAAUGAUUUGCAAAACAAACGAAUAAACCAUUGAGGUUGGCAUGUUUAAAGGGUCGGCCAACUCAGUUUUAAAAAUUAUCGGUUGGGUCUAUUCUAAUUAAAAUUUUGCAAUUGGGUCACUCCAUCAAAUUAAUCAGAAACAAAUUUAUUUUACAUGCCUGCAUGGAAAAAAUUCAAAAUAUACACCGUCACAUGAGAUUAAAGUGUAAAAUACUUGACCACCCCCAAAUUGAUUGUCAAAUUCAACCUCCAGCUGGGGUAAAACCCAACCCCGCUCACACGUGGAUUGAAUCUCCAUAAUACCAUAUUUGACCAACACGCUAAACAAUUACCCAGAUUCAUAAAACCAGCCAGAUUUGGAAAAGAAAAGAGCAGAAGAAAUAGAAAAUCUGAUUUUCCUGUACAUCCACACCAAAUAUCUCAUUCUUGUAACCAAUUUAAGAAACAAAAAUUACAAUACAGCGGAGUUCCACCUACUAUGUGGGUUUUAAAAAUCUUGAUAUAUAUAAAAUAUUAGAAUCUAUACCUGAAUCUCUCUAUAUCUAUACAGAAAUUUUGAUAUAUAAAUAUAGAUAUAUGUGUGUGCGUGCACGUGUUACUGUUGCAAAUGAGUUGUCAGGCAGAGAGAAGGAAGGAGGAGGGAAAGGGAGACCCAUACGCCAACAAGAAGAGGAUUUGAGAAGGGAGGAGAGAUUAAUGAAACCCAGAUUUCCAAAAAAACAGCGUUCUAAGAAUACCUGACUAGGUCCGCUUAAUCCCUACCUAGACGAUAGGACGCCAAGGCCCCUGCCUAGGCGGUAUCAAACCCCCCGCAUUAAUUUAAUAGAGGCUUUGAAAUUCUAGAAUACCUUAAAUGAAUUUGUGAAGCCUUGAAAGAUUGUUUUUAGGUAAUUUUCACAUAAAUUUUUAAAAAUUACAUCUUUUAUAGGCUUUGAAUAGUAUAACAAGUAUAUACAUUUGAAAAAUAAAUGAGACCGCCUAAGCAAACGCCUAGGUGCCGUCUAGGAGGCCUGGGCACUAGGAACUCCUUCCAAUGCCUAGGUCUGUCUAGCGCUUUUUAGAACACUACCAAAAAGAUGAAAAAUGAAGAGAACGUAUAGAAAUAAAAGAUGAGAAAAAUCAAAGCUGAUUCGGACAGCAAUAUAUAAUUUUAUCUUGUGCCUUCUUUUAUUUUGUCCAAUUCUUCUUUUGCUAAAAUUGCCACAUAGGAAAUAAAUUACGUAUGUCCAAUUAAUAUAAUAGAAUGAUCCAAAAACAAAAUUUUAAUUGAUUUUAAUAACUCAAUUUUGAAAGCUGAGUUGGCCAACCCAUAAAACAUGCAAACUUCGAUGGCCAUUUGUUGGUUUCCCCUUGAAUGAAUAAUGAAUUGUUUGCAAAAUAUCAGCUGAACACAAAUUAGUUUAGAGGUUAGAGAACAUUGAUUAAGGUUGAUAAGUUGCAAAUGAAGGGGUUAAGUGGCCAAAAAAUACAUUGUAACAUCAAACAAAUGCGAACAAGAUGACAAGAUUAGAUAAUCUUACAUGAGGCAUCUCAACUCCAUCUGGGUUCAUGUAUCUUGAGUAGUCAUCCCACUCAUUACCAUUACCAGUCCCAUCAUAACCUCCAUAAUAAUAUGAAGCAUAUCCGUUAGGAAGAUAACACAUGGUUGGAUCCAUGAAAUCCGGGAGCAAAGGAGUCAGAGACCGAUCAAAUGACUGGAUCUGACCAUUUGUUACAUCACCUGAACCAACAGGAGGCUGCAAGAAAAAGAGAUUCAACAUAAGCAAUUUCAGAGUGUGAAUACAGGUACUAACAAACAUAAAUUGAUAGGAAAGAUGGACUCUUUACAACUUUAUUUCAAAACACCUUCUUAGUGGGCUCUGGAAUUUCCAAAGUUUUGGUCUGUGAAUCCAUUGACAACUUUUGCAACAAAUCUGCAGCUUCUACGGCAGAAGUAAAGGUAUACAGAUGACCAGAAAUAUUCAAUGUUUCCAGGCUAAUCCUAUUAGGAAUUAAAGUGCAGUAGAACAACCGGCAAAUAUGAAAUUUUAACUGAACCAUGACAAUUAAGGUAAAUCUCGAGAGGAACAAUAGCCAUAACUCAGACAGAUACAAGAUUAUGACAUUCAAAAUUGUACAAAAUACAAAACAAUAAAAUUUAACUUUGUGUAGCUUCCACAACUACUUUAACAGAUGAAUAGUUGAUGAAAAGCAACAACGCAUUUAAAAAUGGUAACUUUAUGAACCAUAGUCAGUUCGUUUUCAAUUACUUUAUCAGCAUAUAUCUGACAUCUGAGACAUAUCUAAUAGCCAAGAUCAAACUAUACCCAAGAUAAAUUCAACAGAAUCAGCAAACAAAUUAAUUAUUAACCAAAAAUUCCAAAGAUUCAUGAUAUACAAAUCCCUAUGUAUACCCAAAAACGAGAUGGUAUGUACACAGAAAAGCUUUAAAAAUAAUAAGAGAAACCCAGUUUGAAUCGAGGGAAAAAAAGAUGAGAAACCCAAAAAGAAAGAGUAGCCAAAUUGUGGGUAAGGAUACGAUCUACGGGAGGAGCAACGGUAGCCAUGAACCUUUGAGAUUGAUUAUAGAGAUCUUUGAAUCAGAUAAACCCCUCGAGAAGCCCUAGGGGAGAGAGGGAACAACGGGAAGAUUUACAGCCGCCACAAACAGCGAAAGAAGAAAAGGGUUUGGGUUUUUGGAGAGAGAGGGUUUUUGAUCCAAUUAAAAAGCGGUGAUUCAAAUAGCACCACGGAUUCACCCCAAUACGGUCCCUAAUACUUUUACUUGCUUCAAUUUUCUCCCCUCUUUUUCUUACCCGCGGGUGAUGCCACCUUCGCACGCGUGCGUCCAUGUGGGAGACGCUCAUUAGUUGAGAUAUGUCGGCAUUUGGUGUGUAAUAGUAGUAUUGGUAUAGAAUUGAUGUAAAAUGAGUGAUUAAAUUAAGAAUGUUAAUAUAGCGGACAGGACAGAGAUAACAUAUAGUCUCAUUAAUAUUUUUACGAAUACUGCGGGCGUCAUACACGCAUUGAUUUUGUGUAUAAAUAAUUUUAAAAAAUAAAAUUUAAGUUUAGUUUAGGGGAUAAUAUAAGAUUAUUAUUAAAUUUAUAGGAUAAAAUAUGAAAUACUUGUAUUCUUAAGGGUUGGAUUUGGGAGAGGAGAAAACUUUGUUGACAGUGAAAUAAAUCAGUUUCUCCUCGGCCUUAAGCUAUUUAGGUGCCAAAUACAAUACAAUACACACCAAGUCAAAAUUAUAGUCUGUAAUUUAUGUGAGUGUAUUAAUACUAUUUGAACUUUUUUAAUUUAUAUUUUUUGAAUUAAAAUACAAGUAAAAAUCAAUUGGCGAAAAAAACAGAGAGGAAAAGACUGAAAAGCCCAAGAGUAGAGUCUAGCCCGAAACCAGCAUUAGCCUGAUUUUACAAGCUGGUCGGUCAAACUAGGCCCCUCCUUUGUUCAUACAUAAGAGACGUGGAUAUGAAGCUAGCCUAGCCAAGCGAUCCAACCCCACAUACAUUUCGCUUUCCUUAUAUUUACCUUUUCANNNNNNNNNNNNNNNNNNNNNNNNNNNNNNNNNNNNNNNNNNNNNNNNNNNNNNNNNNNNNNNNNNNNNNNNNNNNNNNNNNNNNNNNNNNNNNNNNNNNAUAAAUAACUACUAGAGUAUAUAACUUCCAAUCAAGAACCAUCUGACAUUUUAGAAAGGCCAAGAAAUUUUCUCCAUUGUGAGACGGUAGAAGGCAGUUUGUUCAGACAAGUUAUAGCAUAUCUAUACAACUGAAUUUGAAUUUUCAGCUCACCUAAUAAAUCAUCUGCAUGGAACUAUUGCUAGUAUAUAUAUAUAUAGCAAGAAGAGAGAGAAUAAUAAAGCUUGUAAAAUUUAGUCAAUUCUAGUAAAUAUUAACCGCCCACUGCGGUUGGCGUCUUCAGCAAUACAUAAUAGAUAUAAUAAUAAUAAUAAUGACCAUAUCACAUAAACAUCAAAGUAACCCACACCUUGUAAAACAACAAGACGAUUAAAAAAAAAUUGACCAUAACAUAAUAAUAUAAAACCCACAGCUUGUAAUGAAAAUUAAAAAAAAAGAACAAAAUCCCUAAAAAAAACCCAACCCAACCCAACUGGUCUGUUAGAAACCUAACAACUAUGGAGACGGUUAUCAUGAUUAAAAAUCUGGGAUUGCUAAUUGAGAUGUUUUCAGAGAAAAACAGUAUCUGCCUGCGCUGCUGCUGCACCAAAAAAAUCAUCAUCUUUCAAGAAGAAGCCCUACACUACAUGUUCGCUUUAUCUUUCUUGGAUGCAGCAAAAACCGGGCGGCCCUAAUCUUCAGAAAUAUUAAAACAAGCAUUUCUCACUUGGAAAUGGAAUGGUAGACCAGUAAGUUCUCUGACCAAUAACAAACCACCUCCGACCGCCCGUAAAGAAUGGCUCAAGCUAGCAACCAUUUGCAACUCCAUUUGGUAUUAUAACCUUCUUCUCUAGAGCUACAACUGGUUUAGUAACUUUUGAACCUUCUCCAGCUUUAACAACUGUUACCUUCUCUGGUAGCUUAACAUCCCCAUUUGUCUCAACAGCUGGAGUAAGAUCCUUGAUCAAAUCUGAGGCAGCAGCAUCUACCGACUUCUGGGUAGUUUGUUCAACAUUUGAGCCUUCUUUGUUUUUCUCGUCAUUAGGCUUUCCUUCCCACACCUGAAUUUACGAAAAGCAGAAGAAAGAAACCAAGGUUAAGCUACAGAUUGCCCUCACAUCCAAGACAAAAAGAUUAUCAAGACAACCAAGACAAAAGAUUAUCAACACAACCGUGAAAAAAAUAAUAAUAAAGACAGAAAAUACACAAGGAACAUAUACUCCACCUGCUUCUGAAACUGCUGUUGCUUGGCUUUUUUCUCCUGGAUCCUCUUCUGACGUUCCUCAUAGAAAUCAAAAUCAUCUAGGAUGCAUUGCUUGCUGGAAUGGUCCUUGAAUAUUUUAAGCAAUUGAAGACCCUGCUCCAACUUGACCUAUACGGCCAUGUAAAUUUGCUACAUAAAUAUGACAACAGAAAUAUGAGCAACGACAACAGUAAGAACAACACACACCUCUUGAGUAUCCCUGCUAUUAGUGACGGGUUUGUUCUCAUUGUUCUCGAGAGUGAUGUGCUUCAAGAUACUGUUGGGCACAUCCUUCACAAUGUGCCACUUAACGGGAAAACAUCCAACCCACUUAUCUUGUUGCCAAUAUUCAAGACUCUUGUUAAAAUCAACUGGCCCUAACAUCUCGGCGACACCAACAAAUUGGCCACUUGUAUUGACCUGGACAAAAGCCAAGCAAAUUUCUAAUAACAACAAAAGAUAAAUAAAGACCAAACAGCAAUCAAACAAGUUUGUAAGUCAAAGCUCACCGAGAAGAAAAGAAAAAUAGGACAAUCGCCAGACUUCUGCAGUGCUUCCUGGUAUGCCGCAUCAAGUUUCUUGUUGCCAUUUUGCGUGCUCGCCCAGACGUUGUACUUGAUACUCUUGUGAACAUCAUCCUCACUGUAUGACUUUAUAACGAAGAACUUAGCAUCAGCAUAAUUCUCUGGGAAAUCAGCUCGGUUGUGUUGCUCUCUGUCAUGAUUCACACUAGGCUUUUCCUCGCAAUCAUUUGUUCCUGUCAAUGAGAUGUUCUGUCCCUUUACAGCUAAUGCAAUAGGUGUGAAGCCCUUCUGAUUUUUGGUGCUCUUUGCUCUUGGGCCCCUAUUCAGUUCAUUCAAACCAUCUGUGUUCUCAUUACCAUAACCCAAGAAACCAUUGCCUCGUCCCCUUGGCUUGAACUUGCUAUCAACAGUCGACCACCCACGUCCACCAGUUCGGGGAUCAUAACCAUUGGAUCCAUAAUACCCAGAUCUAUAAGCGUUACCAUACUGACUGUACACCUUGUUUGGAUAUAUCCUAUUCAUAUACCCAUUAGCUGUGUUCAAGCCAGACAUUGGCCUUGGAUUGUGCAAUCCCUGUUUUGGAACGACAAUUGAAGUGAGAUAGAUUCUAAAAAAUCAUCAGAAGUAUUUAAAAAGAUCCCGCGAACAUUUAGGAGUGCAACGUAUAAAUAUAUCAAGGAUUGAGCACAUUAGCAACUUAUUUAAAACAACUCUUCCUGCACUGAAUGCUAUUUAAAAAUGUAACAUACCAUGAGGUGAGAAUGAGGACGAACAUUCUGAUUCCUUGAUGAUGGAAUACCAUUCCCAGUAGGUAUUGAUGAUGUAAUGGAAGUGCUAGUCACCGACCUAGGAUUCCCAUCAGAAUAUAAAGGGCCAUCUAUCCAUGGUAUAGGAGAUCGUGAACCAUCAUAACCGAAUCUUGGGUCUUGAUAACCAGAAAUUCCUCCAGGCAAGGCACCCCUUCCAUAGGAACCAUUCGCAUAAGAUGAGUUCUGAUAAUUUGUUUUCAGUGGUGCUGAACCAUUAUUUCCCUUUAAGCCGCCACCAUUUGCAAUGCCAUUAGAAUUUCCAUUGGGAGUUUCAACAGACAAAGGCACUUGAUCAGCAGACCCAAUACUCGAAAUCUCACCUUUGGGAGGGGCAGCUGGGCUUGGGUAAGGCCCACUUGUUGGCGUCAGUGGUUGGAAAUACGGAGUAG